rnacentral:rRNA from 1 species
CGAAGAUACACGAAGAACCUUACCAGGUCUUGACAUACCAUUGACAGGCGCAGAGAUGUGCUCUCCUUCGGGCAAUGGAUACAGGUGGUGCAUGGUUGUCGUCAGCUCGUGCCGUGAGGUGUUGGGUUAAGUCCCGCAACGAGCGCAACCCUCAUUGUUAGUUACUACCAUUCAGUUGAGGACUCUAAUGAGACUGCCAACGAUAAGUUGGAGGAAGGUGGGGAUGACGUCAAAUCAUCAUGCCCUUUAUGACCUGGGCUACAAACGUACUACAAUGGCCAAUACAAAGAGAUGCGAAGCGGUGACGUGGAGCGAACCUCAGAAAGUUGGUCUCAGUUCAGAUUGAAGUCUGCAACUCGACUUCAUGAAGGCGGAAUCGCUAGUAAUCGCGGGUCAGCAGACCGCGGUGAAUACGUUCCCGGGUUUU